CUUUCGGGCAUAGUGGCGCACGGGUGCGUAACGCGUGGGAAUCUGCCCCUUGGUUCGGAAUAACUCAGAGAAAUUUGAGCUAAUACCGGAUGACGACGUAAGUCCAAAGAUUUAUCGCCGAGGGAUGAGCCCGCGUAGGAUUAGCUAGUUGGUGGGGUAAAGGCCUACCAAGGCGACGAUCCUUAGCUGGUCUGAGAGGAUGAUCAGCCACACUGGGACUGAGACACGGCCCAGACUCCUACGGGAGGCAGCAGUGGGGAAUAUUGGACAAUGGGCGAAAGCCUGAUCCAGCAAUGCCGCGUGAGUGAUGAAGGCCUUAGGGUUGUAAAGCUCUUUUACCCGGGAUGAUAAUGACAGUACCGGGAGAAUAAGCCCCGGCUAACUCCGUGCCAGCAGCCGCGGUAAUACGGAGGGAGCUAGCGUUGUUCGGAAUUACUGGGCGUAAAGCGCACGUAGGCGGCUUUGUAAGUUAGAGGUGAAAGCCUGGAGCUCAACUCCAGAACUGCCUUUGAUACUGCAUGGCUUGAAUCCAAGAGAGGUGAGUGGAAUUCCGAGUGUAGAGGUGAAAUUCGUAGAUAUUCGGAAGAACACCUGUGGCGAAGGCGGCUCACUGGCUUGGUAUUGACGCUGAGGUGCGAAAGCGUGGGGAGCAAACUAGGAUUAGAUACCCUGGUAGUCCUACGCCGUAAACGAUGAUAACUAGCUGUCGGGGCACUUGGUGUUUCGGUGGCGCAGCU
rnacentral:rRNA from 1 species